rnacentral:rRNA from 1 species
GACGAACGCUGGCGGCGUGCUUAACACAUGCAAGUCGAACGGAAAGGCCCCUUUUGGGGUACUCGAGUGGCGCACGGGUGAGUAACACGUGAGUAACCUGCCCUUGACUUCGGGAUAACUUCAGGAAACUGGGGCUAAUACCGGAUAGGAAUCCUUGCUGCAUGGUGGGGGUUGGAAAGCUUCGGCGGUUUUGGAUGGACUCGCGGCUUAUCAGCUUGUUGGUGGGGUAGUGGCUUACCAAGGCUUUGACGGGUAGCCGGCCUGAGAGGGCGACCGGCCACAUUGGGACUGAGAUACGGCCCAGACUCCUACGGGAGGCAGCAGUGGGGAAUAUUGCACAAUGGGCGGAAGCCUGAUGCAGCAACGCCGCGUGCGGGAUGACGGCCUUCGGGUUGUAAACCGCUUUCAGCAGGGGCGAAGCUUGUGGUGACGGUACCUGCAGAAGAAGCACCGGCUAACUACGUG